AUAUUUACAGCACAACAGUGUGAUAUUUACAGCACAACAGGGUGAUAUUUACAGCACAACAGUGUGAUAUUUACAGCACAACAGUGUGAUAUUUACAGCACAACAGGAUGAUAUUUACAGCACAACAGGAUGAUAUUUACAGCACAACAGGGUGAUAUUUACAGCACAACAGUGUGAUAUUUACAGCACAACAGGAUGAUAUUUACAGCACAACAGGGUGAUAUUUACAGCACAGCAGGAUGAUAUUUACAGCACAGCAGGGUGAUAUUUACAGCACAACAGUGUGAUAUUUACAGCACAACAGGGUGAUAUUUACAGCACAACAGGAUGAUAUUUACAGCACAACAGGAUGAUAUUUACAGCACAACAGGGUGAUAUUUACAGCACAACAGGGUGAUAUUUACAGCACAACAGGAUGAUAUUUACAGCACAACAGGGUGAUAUUUACAGCACAACAGGAUGAUAUUUACAGCACAACAGGGUGAUAUUUACAGCACAACAGGGUGAUAUUUACAGCACAACAGGGUGAUAUUUACAGCACAACAGGGUGAUAUUUACAGCACAACAGGAUGAUAUUUACAGCACAACAGGAUGAUAUUUACAGCACAACAGGAUGAUAUUUACAGCACAACAGGGUGAUAUUUACAGCACAACAGGGUGAUAUUUACAGCACAACAGGAUGAUAUUUACAGCACAACAGGAUGAUAUUUACAGCACAACAGGAUGAUAUUUACAGCACAACAGGGUGAUAUUUACAGCACAACAGGGUGAUAUUUACAGCACAACAGGGUGAUAUUUACAGCACAACAGGGUGAUAUUUACAGCACAACAGGAUGAUAUUUACAGCACAACAGGAUGAUAUUUA